UGCCAGCAGCCGCGGUAAUACGGAGGGUGCGAGCGUUAAUCGGAAUUACUGGGCGUAAAGCGUACGUAGGUGGUUUGGUAAGUCGGAUGUGAAAUCCCCGGGCUCAACCUGGGAAUUGCAUUCGAAACUGCCUCACUAGAGUCUAGCAGAGGGAUGGGGAAUUCCGGGUGUAGCGGUGAAAUGCGUAGAGAUCCGGAGGAACAUCAGUGGCGAAGGCGGCUUACUGGGAUGUAACUGACGCUGAGGCGCGAAGGCGUGGGUAGCAAACAGGAUUAGAUA
rnacentral:rRNA from 1 species